UGCUCCGGAAACGACGUCCGCCGCGAUCCGGAAGCAAUUGCCGUGCCGUCCCAACCAGCAACCUGGCAGUGGAGGGCGGAGACCGUCCAACUGGCGAGGUGGGGACUGGACCUGUAGGUGAUUGAAACCGCACCUGUCAACGGAAAACUUUAAGCAGCACUUUAUUCCUCCGAUUUCUCCUUAGGGAGCGCACGACCGAACCUUUUCCACUCCAAUCCCCAAAGGUUUGGAAACACCGCCUAGUCCUGGUAAAAUCCAGCCCACAAAUCCUUCCGUCAUAACUUGUAUCCUCGUUGGAUAUUUGCGAGUAAGCGCAAGGUCAACAACUUCAAAGUUCGCUUUGAGAAAAUCAUGGCCCGAGAGAAUGUGAAGAUAGUAUAUCUGAAAACACGGAUGGGUAACUGAAAGGCUUUUCAGGAGUGAUUUUAACCAUACAAGAUUUUUGAGAGCAAAGAAUUUUCAUAUUGUGGAGGAAACAGAAGCAUAAAAGAAAAUUGCAUUGGCCAGGAAGAUGUGAAAGACAUGAAGAUUUUAUAAAAGUGUGAAGUCCAGAAAGACUGAAGGAAAAUUUGGAAUAACUGAAGGAAACCAAAAAGUUUAUUAACAGUAACACAAUUAACAGGAUAUGUGAGGUGAGAGGCAUAUUUUAAAAAUAAAUAUUCUGUAUAUAAAACAAAACAUGCUUCAAACAAAUACAAAAUGUUUAUUACACAAGAAUGUAGUAACUGCCAAACUACCAAUUUGUUAAACUUAGAAAAAGUAUUAACUUACUUUUAUAUAACUUUAAGAAAAACAACAAAAAAACUACAUUUUUGUUAUUCAAGCCAACUCACCUCCAAGCAUUAAAAGUUAUAAAAUUUUGGUUUAAAAAAUGUCACUCUAUAAUUGUCCCAAUUUAUUUUAUGCCAUGACAAAAACAAAAUAUCUUCAAAAUUAUCUGUGUAUAUAAAUGAAAUGAUGUUUGUAACAUAAACUUAUUUCAAUAACAUUUCUAUCAAUAACAGCCCAACAUGAAUUAAAUACUAAAUACUUUUUUUAGACCAAAUAGGGAACAUUAAUGACAAUGCCAGCAUGGAACUUAAUGCCUGUCAAUACACAUACAAUGCAAUUAAUAAUCAAUCUGACUGAGCUAGUGAUAUUUAAAGAAUAUUGUUAGUUACUCUAUCUCCUAGUAUAACUGAAUAUCCUAACAUUCUCAUCAACUGAAUACCCAUUUCAUUCUCUCAUAUUCUUCUCUGUACUCCUUGUCUCCAGGUUGGAAUAGCUCUAAGGAGAAAAAAAGGAGAGAAAUUAUAAAUAUUGAGAAACCAAACACAAAUCCUAACAGAUUAAAUGGUAACUUAAAAAUGUAUAUGGAUAUUCUUUGCCAACUUUUUAUUAUAAAAUACACACUCACAAAUUGCAAAAAAAUAUAAACUUAUAUAAAGAUGCAGUUAAUUAAACUAUUAUAAUGUGAACACUUAUUCUAAGUUCUCUUUACCUAUGUGGGAUAUGUAGAAGUGACCCAGAGCCUGUUGGUCCGAUCUUUUUGGUCCGUUCUUCCCAACCUUUGGUAGGUUUGUAAAGCCUAGAGGGAUCUCUACUAACAUUGUUUUCAACCUGUAAUCAGAACAAAAUGAGUACCAGUUAACUUAUAUGAACUAUUAGAUUUGAAUUAAUAAACGAGUAAGGUCCCUGGUAAAAGAAAGCAGUUUUAAGAAACAAUCUUUCUAUGAGCUGAACAGUAAUAAAACUGUUAACCUCAUACACAGUGAACUUCUAGUUAUAUAGCUAAUAAAAUCUAGACAUCAAUCUUUUAAUAAACUGUCAACAACAUCGUUAGUUCUGAGUAUUACCAGUGAGAUUAAACAAUGCUCACAGCUGCCAUAGGUCUAAGAAAGAGGCUCAUAUAGAAAGAAUGAAGAAAAGGAUGGUGAGUAAGAAGAGAGAAAUAAUUUAGGGUGAAAGGAAAAAAGGUGCUUAUAAUAUGAAAUGGUAGAAUUAAACCAAGAGUUGCUUAAAUUGCACUAAGCUAUGCUUCCUAAUAUGUAAAAAAUUAAAUAAUGAAAUUUAAAGGAGAUGGUACAGGAAUAAAGCUGUAUAUUAAGAAUAUGGAUCUGAUGUCUGUAUACUUACAAAUAUCAGGUAAUUAUGAUAUUAAUAAAAAUAAUGUCAAUAUAAAAUACCUUUUCUUUUAAUUUUGCUAGUCGUCUUUGUUUUUCUGCCUUUUCAUCUUCCUUCGUUUGUCUAUCUAGAAUUUUC